CAGUUCGGAUUGUAGUCUGCAACCCGACUACAUGAAGCUGGAAUCGCUAGUAAUCGCGGAUCAGAAUGCCGCGGUGAAUACGUUCCCGGGCCUUGUACACACCGCCCGUCACACCAUGAGAGUCGGGAACACCCGAAGUCCGUAGCCUAACUUUAACGAGGGGGCGCGGCCGAAGGUGGGUUCGAUAAUUGGGGUGAAGUCGUAACAAGGUAAC
rnacentral:rRNA from 1 species